GACGAACGCUGGCGGCGUGCCUAAUACAUGCAAGUAGAACGCUGAAGGAGGAGCUUGCUUCUCCGGAUGAGUUGCGAACGGGUGAGUAACGCGUAGGUAACCUGCCUGGUAGCGGGGGAUAACUAUUGGAAACGAUAGCUAAUACCGCAUAAGAGUAGAUGUCGCAUGACAUUUGCUUAAAAGUUGCAACUGCACCACUACCAGAUGGACCUGCGUUGUAUUAGCUAGUUGGUGAGGUAACGGCUCACCAAGGCAACGAUACAUAGCCGACCUGAGAGGGGUAUCGGCCACCCUUGGAAUGAGACACGGCCCAGACUCCUACGGGAGGCAGCAGGAGGGAAUCUUCGGCAAUGGACGGAAGUCUGACCGAGCAACGCCGCGGGAGGGAAGAAGGUUUUCGGAUCGGAAAGCUCUGUUGUAAGAGAAGAAAGAGUGUGAGAGUGGAAAGUUCACAUUGUGACGGUAUCUUACCAGAAAGGGACGGCUAACUACGUG
rnacentral:rRNA from 1 species